rnacentral:rRNA from 1 species
GACGAACGCUGGCGGCGCGCCUAACACAUGCAAGUCGAGCGAGCGGCGGACGGGUGAGUAAUGUCUGGGAAACUGCCUGAUGGUGGGGGGUAACUACUUGAAACGGUAGCUAAUACCGCAUACCCUCAGAUAUGCCCAGAUGGGAUUAGCUAGCAGGUGGGGUAACGGCUCACCUAGGCGACGAUCCCUAGCGGGUCUGAGAGGAUGACCAGCCAAACUGGAACUGAGACACGGUCCAGACUCCUACGGGAGGCAGCAGUGGAGAAUAUUGAACAAUGGGCGUAAGCCUGAUGCAGCCAUGCCGCGUGUGUGAAGAAGGCCUUCGGGUUGGAAAGCAAUUUCAGCGGGGAGGCGUUACCCGCAGAAGAAGCACCGGCUAACUCAGUGGCAGCAGCCGCGGUAAUAC